rnacentral:rRNA from 1 species
GACGAACGCUGGCGGCGUGCUUAACACAUGCAAGUCGAACGGAAAGGCCCUGCUUUUGUGGGGUGCUCGAGUGGCGAACGGGUGAGUAACACGUGAGUAACCUGCCCUUGACUUUGGGAUAACUUCAGGAAACUGGGGCUAAUACCGGAUAGGAGCUCCUGCUGCAUGGUGGGGGUUGGAAAGUUUCGGCGGUUGGGGAUGGACUCGCGGCUUAUCAGCUUGUUGGUGGGGUAGUGGCUUACCAAGGCUUUGACGGGUAGCCGGCCUGAGAGGGUGACCGGCCACAUUGGGACUGAGAUACGGCCCAGACUCCUACGGGAGGCAGCAGUGGGGAAUAUUGCACAAUGGGGGGAAGUCUGAUGCAGCAACGCCGCGUGCGGGAUGACGGCCUUCGGGUUGUAAACCGCUUUCGCCUGUGACGAAGCGUGAGUGACGGUAAUGGGUAAAGAAGCACCGGCUAACUACGUG